UACAUGCAAGUCGAACGAACUCUGGUAUUGAUUGGUGCUUGCAUCAUGAUUUACAUUUGAGUGAGUGGCGAACUGGUGAGUAACACGUGGGAAACCUGCCCAGAAGCGGGGGAUAACACCUGGAAACAGAUGCUAAUACCGCAUAACAACUUGGACCGCAUGGUCCGAGUUUGAAAGAUGGCUUCGGCUAUCACUUUUGGAUGGUCCCGCGGCGUAUUAGCUAGAUGGUGGGGUAACGGCUCACCAUGGCAAUGAUACGUAGCCGACCUGAGAGGGUAAUCGGCCACAUUGGGACUGAGACACGGCCCAAACUCCUACGGGAGGCAGCAGUAGGGAAUCUUCCACAAUGGACGAAAGUCUGAUGGAGCAACGCCGCGUGAGUGAAGAAGGGUUUCGGCUCGUAAAACUCUGUUGUUAAAGAAGAACAUAUCUGAGAGUAACUGUUCAGGUAUUGACGGUAUUUAACCAGAAAGCCACGGCUAACUACGUGCCAGCAGCCGCGGUAAUACGUAGGUGGCAAGCGUUGUCCGGAUUUAUUGGGCGUAAAGCGAGCGCAGGCGGUUUUUUAAGUCUGAUGUGAAAGCCUUCGGCUCAACCGAAGAAGUGCAUCGGAAACUGGGAAACUUGAGUGCAGAAGAGGACAGUGGAACUCCAUGUGUAGCGGUGAAAUGCGUAGAUAUAUGGAAGAACACCAGUGGCGAAGGCGGCUGUCUGGUCUGUAACUGACGCUGAGGCUCGAAAGUAUGGGUAGCAAACAGGAUUAGAUACCCUGGUAGUCCAUACCGUAAACGAUGAAUGCUAAGUGUUGGAGGGUUUCCGCCCUUCAGUGCUGCAGCUAACGCAUUAAGCAUUCCGCCUGGGGAGUACGGCCGCAAGGCUGAAACUCAAAGGAAUUGACGGGGGCCCGCACAAGCGGUGGAGCAUGUGGUUUAAUUCGAAGCUACGCGAAGAACCUUACCAGGUCUUGACAUACUAUGCAAAUCUAAGAGAUUAGACGUUCCCUUCGGGGACAUGGAUACAGGUGGUGCAUGGUUGUCGUCAGCUCGUGUCGUGAGAUGUUGGGUUAAGUCCCGCAACGAGCGCAACCCUUAUUAUCAGUUGCCAGCAUUAAGUUGGGCACUCUGGUGAGACUGCCGGUGACAAACCGGAGGAAGGUGGGGAUGACGUCAAAUCAUCAUGCCCCUUAUGACCUGGGCUACACACGUGCUACAAUGGAUGGUACAACGAGUUGCGAACUCGCGAGAGUAAGCUAAUCUCUUAAAGCCAUUCUCAGUUCGGAUUGUAGGCUGCAACUCGCCUACAUGAAGUCGGAAUCGCUAGUAAUCGCGGAUCAGCAUGCCGCGGUGAAUACGUUCCCGGGCCUUGUACACACCGCCCGUCACACCAUGAGAGUUUGUAACACCCAAAGUCGGUGGGGUAACCUUUUAGGAACCAGCCGCCUAAGGUG
rnacentral:rRNA from 2 species